rnacentral:rRNA from 1 species
UACGUAGGGUGCAAGCGUUGUCCGGAAUUAUUGGGCGUAAAGAGCUCGUAGGCGGUUUGUCGCGUCGAAUGUGAAAACCCGGGGCUCAACCCCGGGCCUGCAUUCGAUACGGGCAGACUAGAGUUCGGUAGGGGAGUCUGGAAUUACUGGUGUAGCGGUGAAAUGCGCAGAUAUCAGGAGGAACACCGGUGGCGAAGGCGGGUCUCUGGGCCGAUACUGACGCUGAGGAGCGAAAGCGUGGGGAGCGAACAGG